CAUGGAUCCUACCUCAAAUCCUGCAUAUUCUGGUGGAUGGUUAAUGUCCUUGGAAUUUACAAUACUUGGCCUACUUGGACUUAAUUUUAAUUCCCCAAUUUAGCACCUGUGUAACCUUGCAGAAGGUAUUACUCUUCUCUAAGUCUCCGUUUUCUAAUCUGUAACAUGGUGAGAAUUAAUUUCUCAUAGAGUUCUAAUGAAUAAAUGAGAUAUCAUUUUUAGCUCUGUAGUCAAUAAAUGCUAGUAUCAAUUGAUUAUUUACCCUUCAGUAAUUUACACCUCUUGGAAUCACACUAUUUGGAUAGGAUACAUUUUAACAUGUUUUUCUUUUUCAUAAGAAAGUGACAUUGAUCUACUAUCAGCAGAAGAUGCUAUUUCUUUAUCUCCUAUAGGCAGGAGAGGGGAUGGAUUUGCAUCAAGUUAUUUACAUUUGCUUCUCAGGACCUUUACAACUAGUUACAUUCUACAUUAUCAACAGUUUACCUAACAUCAGGAAUUAAUUACCCUUUUAGGAUUUUUCCAAAUUGAAUAGAUAAAAAUGAUUCCAUAUUCCAAGAAAAGGAUUAAGCAUGAAUAAACAUGAGGCACACUGAUACCACUAUCAGUAGCAGCCAGUCAGUCCAGACAAUCUUUUGCUGAAAACUGUCUACAGUUACCUUUUUCAAGUGGAUACAGUGGCCCCAUAUAAAACAGGUAUAAUGACUUUUACAGUAGAACUAUUUUAAAUGAAAAUGUCUGCUUCUGGAGAUCCCGUUGUGGUGCAGCAGAAAUGAAUCUGACUAGGAACCAUUAGGUUAUGGGUUUGAUCCCUGGCCUUGCUCAAUGGGUUAAGGAUCCAAGGUUGAUGUGAGCUGUGGUGUAGGUCACAGAUGUGGCUCAGAUCCCACCUUGCUGUGGCUGUGGUGUAGGCUGGCAGCUGUAGUUCCAAUUGGGCCUGGGAAACUCCAUAUGCCAUGGAUGCGGCCCUUAAAAACCAAAAAAAAAAAAAAAAAAAAAAGCCAAAAAAAAAAAAGAAAGAAAGAAAGAAAAAGAAAAUGACACUACUUUUGAAUUCUCCUCACAGUCUUAAAGCUUUCUUCUCUAGUCACAGUGCAGACACUAUCAGUGAACAGAGAAUCUUUGUAUUAUUUCAAAGUUUCUCCCAUUGUCAGUCACUGUGACAAAGUGCUGGCCAAUCUGACACAAUGAUGAAUCACUCCAGACAUUGAGUUUUCACAUGGCUGUCGAGGGUUCUCUACUAGUAGAUUCUGGCAUCUGGAAAUGCCACAGACCAACACUGGGUGCUCUGCUGGGAUUUGGCAAAAAUUAAACAGAUGCCUUUGAGAGAAUAGAUGUGUAAUAAAUAUUUACUGUCUAGUUUUGCCACGUCUUUGUGUAGUAAUUGACUUAAAUGCCUAUUAAGCAAAUCCUCACUUUGCAAACCUCUUCUUGCCUAUGCUCCACUGAAAUGAGUUAGGUUUAAGAGUACACUGAAAUAUUUAAAUACUAAACAAAUAUGUUUGCUUACUGUUUCCAGCUCUAAAAUAACAUGUGGGUUCUUCUUCCCUUCAUCCUUGAAAUUUUAAUGAACAAUGCAAUUCUUUGCUAAUAAUUUUUUAACUGACUAGAUCUUACAAAUCUUACAAACCCAAUGCUGCUGGAAUUUAUGAUGGAUUGAUGCAUAGCCCAAUGUAAAUGUACUUGUAACAUCUACCUUAGUUUCCUGUUGGAGAGCUUGUCAAUACACCAGUGCCUCAAAUCCAUUUUCUUGGUAAAAAUGUUGCAAUUUCUGAUUAUUAUUCACAAAGGCAGCUUCCUGAGUUAUUUCUGCUCCUGCACAAUAUUCAUGAUAGCAAUUUGAUACCUUAGCAGUUUCAAGGUUAUCAGGUGAUUGAAAAUCCUACUGCUUACUUCAAGGUGUAACAUAUACAACUGUGCUGUCAUCCAUUAUAGCAGGAUAAUAGUUUUUCGUAAUGCCUUUCAUGAACUGCUGAUUUAGAAGUGUAAGCCUAACUUCUGAAGGCGCUUAUCAGUAUAAGGCUGGGGAAGUAUUGCUUAACUGGUAAAAACAGUCUGGAAUUCUUUUGUACUAUUUAGAGAAAAGCAACACCAAGUUUCAUUUCUCUUUUAGAUGAUGCUAGUGCUCUGCCCUGUUAAGUCAUUAAAGUACAUUUGCAAGAAGAAACAAACAACAACAACAACAACAAAACCAAUUUAUCUGGUCUGCUGAAGGGCUCAUAUUAAUCACAAUGAAUCUAAGAAGGAAAUACUGGAUUUUGUAGAUUGUGGAGAUUAAGUUAGAAGCAAGGAAUUACUGAGAGACACAAUGGAGAUUUUCCUAAAUUAAAAACACACAAAAGUCAAGGAAAUUCAUAAUAAAGCUGGUAAGUAAAAAUCAAUCAU
rnacentral:lncRNA from 1 species